AAGAUGUUAGUAAAACAUUACAUAACUUUGUCAAGGUUAAAUUACAGGUGAAAAUCCCGUACAUCUUA
rnacentral:tRNA from 2 species